rnacentral:rRNA from 1 species
GCUAAUACCGCAUAAGCGCACAGCUUCGCAUGAAGCAGUGUGAAAAACUCCGGUGGUAUACGAUGGAUCCGCGUCUGAUUAGCUGGUUGGCGGGGUAAAGGCCCACCAAGGCGACGAUCAGUAGCCGGCCUGAGAGGGUGAACGGCCACAUUGGGACUGAGACACGGCCCAAACUCCUACGGGAGGCAGCAGUGGGGAAUAUUGCACAAUGGGGGAAACCCUGAUGCAGCGACGCCGCGUGAGUGAAGAAGUAUUUCGGUACGUAAAGCUCUAUCAGCAGGGAAGAAAAUGACGGUACCUGACUAAGAAGCCCCGGCUAACUACGUGCCAGCAGCCGCGGUAAUACGUAGGGGGCAAGCGUUAUCCGGAUUUACUGGGUGUAAAGGGAGCGUAGACGGCAGCGCAAGUCUGGAGUGAAAUCCCAUGGCUUAACCAUGGAACUGCUUUGGAAACUGUGCAGCUAGAGUGCAGGAGAGGUAAGCGGAAUUCCUAGUGUAGCGGUGAGAUGCGUAGAUAUUAGGAGGAACACCAGUGGCGAAGGCGGCUUACUGGACUGUAACUGACGUUGAGGCUCGAAAGCGUGGGGAGCAAACAGGAUUAGAUACCCUGGUAGUCCACGCCGUAAACGAUGAUUACUAGGUGU